CUUCAGAUACGUGGCAAGAUUAAACUGUAAACUGAUUUGUACUCUUCAGUUAAUGCUACAUUACAGUGACUAUCCUACUGACCUUCAUCUGGCUCAAGCACUAGAGAAUUAAGCUAUAACAACUGCAAAAAGGAUUGGAGCAAGAAAAUGUGAGCUAUUCCUCCCCCUCUUUCCUGCCAGCCUUGAGCUGGGCCACCUUCCUCCACCUUUCCUCAUCAUCUCUGUCAAAUUCCCAUGACUUGGGAAAGAUUAAAAAAAAAAAAAAGUCUGUAAAGGGCAGUGGUCAAUCCUGAGAACAAAAGAUAUCUCCCUCAUAUGCACCAGACUUCCCAGUUCUCCCAGUGAUAACUGCAACAGCA
ensembl:lncRNA